CCUACGGGAGGCAGCAGUGAGGAAUAUUGGUCAAUGGGCGCGAGCCUGAACCAGCCAAGUAGCGUGAAGGAUGACUGCCCUACGGGUUGUAAACUUCUUUUAUAAGGAAUUAAGUGAGGCACGUGUGCCCUUUUGUAUGUACUUUAUGAAUAAGGAUCCGCUAACUACGUGCCCGCAGCCGGGGUAAAACGGAGGGUCCGAGCGUUAUCCGGAUUUUAUUGGGUUAAAAGGGGCGUAGAUGGGUUGUUAAGUCAGUUGUGAAAGUUUGCGGGUCAACCGUAAAAUUGCAAUUGAUACUGGCAGCCUUGAGUACAGUUGAGGUAGGCGGAAUUCGUGGUGUAGCGGUGAAAUGCUUAGAUAUCACGAAGAACUCCGAUUGCGAAGGCAGCUUACUAAACUGCCACUGACAUUGAUGCUCGAAAGUGUGGGUAUCAAACAGGAUUAGAUACCCGGGUAGUC
rnacentral:rRNA from 1 species